GAUGAACGCUGGCGGCGUGCCUAAUACAUGCAAGUCGAGCGAACAGAUGAGGAUCUUGCUCCUCUGACUUUAGCGCCGGACGGGUGAGUAACACGUGGAUAACCUACCUAUAAGGCUGGGAUCACUUCGGUAAACCGAAGCUAAUACCGGAUAAUCUAUUGAACCGCAGGGUUCGGUAAUGAAAGGCGGUUUUGCUGUCACUUAUAGAUUGAUCCGCGCCGCAUUAGCUAGUUGGUAAGGUAACGGCUUACCAAGGCAAAGAUGCGUAGCCGACCUGAGAGGGUGGUCGGCGACAUGAGAACUGAGACACGGUCAAGACGCCUACGGGAGGCAGCAGUAGGGAACCGUACGCAACGGGGGAAAGCCUUACGGAGCAACGCCGCGUGAGUGAUGAAGGUCUUCGGAGCGGAAAACUCUGUUAUGAGGGAAGAACAAAUGUGUAAGGAAAUAUGCACGUAGUGACGGUACCUAAUCAGAAAGCCACGGCUAACUACGUG
rnacentral:rRNA from 1 species